AGAGUUUGAUCAUGGCUCAGAUUGAACGCUGGCGGCAUGCCUUACACAUGCAAGUCGAACGGUAACGCGGGGGCAACCCUGGCGACGAGUGGCGGACGGGUGAGUAGCGCAUUGGAACGUGCCCAGUAGUGGGGGAUAGCUCGGCGAAAGCCGGAUUAAUACCGCAUACGACCUACGGGUGAAAGCGGGGGACCGCAAGGCCUCGCGCUAUUGGAGCGGCCGAUGCCCGAUUAGCUAGUUGGUGAGGUAAAGGCUCACCAAGGCAACGAUCGGUAGCUGGUCUGAGAGGACGACCAGCCACACUGGGACUGAGACACGGCCCAGACUCCUACGGGAGGCAGCAGUGGGGAAUUUUGGACAAUGGGGGAAACCCUGAUCCAGCCAUGCCGCGUGCGGGAAGAAGGCCUUCGGGUUGUAAACCGCUUUUGGCAGGAACGAAACGGCGCGCGCCAAUACCGCGCGUUAAUGACGGUACCUGCAGAAUAAGCACCGGCUAACUACGUGCCAGCAGCCGCGGCAAUACGUAGGGUGCAAGCGUUAAUCGGAUUUACUGGGCGUAAAGCGUACGCAGGCGGCUGUGCAAGACAGGUGUGAAAUCCCCGGGCUUAACCUGGGAACUGCAUUUGUGACUGCAUAGCUAGAGUCCGUAAGAGGGGGGUGGAAUUCCACGUGUAGCAGUGAAAUGCGUAGAGAUGUGGAGGAACACCGAUGGCGAAGGC
rnacentral:rRNA from 1 species